GAUGAACGCUGGCGGCGUGCCUAAUACAUGCAAGUCGAGCGAACAGAUGAGGAGCUUGCUCCUCUGACGUUAGCGGCGGACGGGUGAGUAACACGUGGAUAACCUACCUAUAAGACUGGGAUAACUACGGGAAACCGGAGCUAAUACCGGAUAAUAUAUUGAACCGCAUGGUUCAAUAGUGAAAGACGGUUUUGCUGUCACUUAUAGAUGGAUCCGCGCCGCAUUAGCUAGUUGGUAAGGUAACGGCUUACCAAAGCAACGAUGCGUAGCCGACCUGAGAGGGGGAUCCGCCACACUGGAACUGAGAAACGGUCCCGACUCCUAAGGGAGGCAACCGUAGGGAAUCUUCCGCAAUGGGCGAAAGCCUGACGGAGCAACGCCGGGUGGGUGAAGAAGGUCUUCGGAUCGUAAAACUCUGUUAUUAGGGAAGAACAAAUGUGUAAGUAACUAUGCACGUCUUGACGGUACCUAAUCAGAAAGCCACGGCUAACUACGUG
rnacentral:rRNA from 1 species